UACGUAGGGGGCUAGCGUUGCUCGGAUUGACUGGGCGUAAAGGGCGCGUAGGCGGUUUGUACAGUCGGACGUGAAAUUCCUGGGCUCCAACCUGGGGGGCUGCGUUUUGAUACGUGCGAGCUUGAGUUCGGAAGAGGGUCGUGGAAUUCCCAGUGUAGAGGUGAAAUUCGUAGAUAUUGGGAAGAACACCGGUGGCGAAGGCGGCGACCUGGUCCGAUACUGACGCUGAGGCGCGAAAGCGUGGGGGAGCAAACAGG
rnacentral:rRNA from 1 species